rnacentral:lncRNA from 1 species
GCAGUGGGGAGCUGGGAUGCAGGGCUGUCCCAAGUGAGCUGGAGGAAGAAGGAUUGGACGUCCUUGUUUAAAGAAGAAAAUGCGUAUUUGAGGAAAACAAUCAACUCGAUGAAGAAGGAAGGAGGAAGAGAAGCUGAACACCUAGGAAAAAACAGAGAAACACAAAAGCAGCCUCUUAGUACUUCCUGUUGACGUCGGUGGGGACCAGCCCAGCUUCCCACAUGAUCGCAUCUUCUUGUAACUCUCUUAUUGUACGCCUUGAGACACCGAGAUCCUCAGCUAGCCAGGCUCAGAUGCGACUGGAGGACUUCAGUCACUGGUCAAAUCAAGACUGGCCCCUUCCAAGAUCGCUGAACGAGGGUGAAGUCUGAUGGAACGAUCGCUACCAUUUGCUGGCGGAGACUGUGUGCGAGCACCACGUGAACCCCAGAAAGUGCCUUGAAAGAGCCUGGUACACAGUAGGUGCCCAAUAAGUGUUAGCCACUGUUAUUAUUAAGAUUAUAAUGAUUACUAUGGAACAUGAGGUAGUCUUGUCUCUACAACAAGGCUGCGUGCUCCCUAAAGAGGGGAAACCUCAUACCGGCAUAUACACACGUGCUCCACACCCAACAGAACAUACCUAAACGCCCUGCCUACAGAGAUGCUAAUUAAACUCUUCUUGAA